rnacentral:lncRNA from 1 species
UUCUAUUUGUUAGUGUAUGUUUCAUAAACUAGUCCCACUAUUACAGUAAUCUCACUCUCUCAAUAUAUGUGCCAACAGGGAUGCUCGAUUUUGGUGGAACUGCACAAAAACUUUGGGUGCUUCAUUGCCUCGACAGCUUCCGUCCUUUCCUGUCAGUCGCUAAACUCCGCAUGCUUUCUUCCUUUGCUGUUAGUCGCUUGGCUUAUCUCGGCUUCCAGUCAAAGGAAAUAGUAAUUGAUAUGCUACCUCACAUAGGUUGGUACUGGUCUUUAUCCUGAUUAUUGUGCCUGUCAUAUGUAUUGGUAAUUUGGUAUUGUGCUACUGUUUGCCGAUUUCAUAAAGGAGUAAUUUGGAGCCUGAACUCGCAGGCAAAUCAUUA